UGGGGAAUAUUGCACAAUGGGCGCAAGCCUGAUGCAGCGACGCCGCGUGGGGGAUGACGGCCUUCGGGUUGUAAACCUCUUUCAGCACAGACGAAGCGCAAGUGACGGUAUGUGCAGAAGAAGCACCGGCUAACUACGUGCCAGCAGCCGCGGUAAUACGUAGGGUGCGAGCGUUGUCCGGAAUUACUGGGCGUAAAGAGCUCGUAGGUGGUUUGUCGCGUUGUUCGUGAAAACUCACAGCUUAACUGUGGGCUUGCGGGCGAUACGGGCAGACUGGAGUACUGCAGGGGAGACUGGAAUUCCUGGUGUAGCGGUGGAAUGCGCAGAUAUCAGGAGGAACACCGGUGGCGAAGGCGGGUCUCUGGGCAGUAACUGACGCUGAGGAGCGAAAGCGUGGGGAGCGAACAGGAUUAGAUACCCUGGUAGUCCACGCCGUAAACGGUGGGUACUAGGUGUGGGUUUCCUUCCUUGGGAUCCGGUGCCGUAGCUAACG
rnacentral:rRNA from 1 species